rnacentral:pre_miRNA from 1 species
AGGUGACGAACGCAACACAGCGUCUCAAUCACAGCUCUGUGUUUGAGACGUUGUGUUGGGCUGUGUUUGAGACGUUGUGUUGUGUUCGUCCCCUU